ACGGCUCAGUAACACGUGGAUAACCUGCCCUUGGGUCUGGGAUAACCCCGGGGAACUGGGGAUAAUACCGGAUAACGCAUAUAUGCUGGAAUGCUUUAUGCGUAAAAUGGAUUCGUCUGCCCAAGGAUGGGUCUGCGGCCUAUCAGGUAGUAGUGGGUGUAAUGUACCUACUAGCCUACAACGGGUACGGGUUGUGAGAGCAAGAGCCCGGAGAUGGAUUCUGAGACAUGAAUCCAGGCCCUACGGGGCGCAGCAGGCGCGAAAACUUUACAAUGCGGGAAACCGUGAUAAGGGGACACCGAGUGCCAGCAUCAUAUGCUGGCUGUCCAGAUGUGUAAAAUACAUCUGUUAGCAAGGGCCGGGCAAGACCGGUGCCAGCCGCCGCGGUAACACCGGCGGCCCGAGUGGUGAUCGUGAUUAUUGGGUCUAAAGGGUCCGUAGCCGGUUUGGUCAGUCCUCCGGGAAAUCUGAUGGCUCAACCAUUAGGCUUUCGGGGGAUACUGCCAGGCUUGGAACCGGGAGAGGUAAGAGGUACUACAGGGGUAGGAGUGAAAUCUUGUAAUCCCUGUGAGACCACCUGUGGCGAAGGCGUCUUACCAGAACGGGUUCGACGGUGAGGGACGAAAGCUGGGGGCACGAACCGGAUUAGAUACCCGGGUAGUCCCAGCCGUAAACGAUGCUCGCUAGGUGUCAGGCAUGGCGCGACCGUGUCUGGUGCCGCAGGGAAGCCGUGAAGCGAGCCACCUGGGAAGUACGGCCGCAAGGCUGAAACUUAAAGGAAUUGGCGGGGGAGCAC
rnacentral:rRNA from 1 species